UGAAAAAUGAACCUUUAAAACUAACUGAUUCAGACUAUUGAAUGCUUAUGCUCUUUUUUUUCUGUGACAUGGUUUCCGACUCAGAUACCCUGCCAGGCGGUAAUUACAGAUAUAAAGAGGCAGUGUGCAGCAUUUCUGGGAACAGUGAGUGUGGAAAAGGAGUGAUUAGGGUUUCAUGUUACUAUGGUCUGGGUUUUGUGGAAUUCUUUAGCUGUCCUGAUCCAUCAGGGUGGGCUGUCUGGAGGAAGAGGUGGCAAAAUUUCACAGGCCUGUUGGAAAAGCAGAAAAACUGGGUUCAGGGUAGCUUUAACAUUGGAUUGUUUUUAUUUCUGUUGUCAAGAUGAAUUCCUAUAAAAAAUGUCUUUGUACCAUCAGUUAAAAAGCAAACAUACUUUCUGGCUACCUGGGUUUUGUAGCACAUCUGCUGUACAGAAGAAUAAAAAUGAUAAUUUCUGCCAUUUUAUGUCAUAGGAGGGUUCCAUCAAUAGGGUGUGGUGAGGCAGUGCUUGAUCCUGUGGACCAUUUUUUUCGGGAAUCAGCCCUGGGCCUGGCUGAGCCAGCACCAGAAGGCACCAUUGGGGAUGGAAGGAAGAGUCUCUGGGUCUGUGCCCUGAGACUUUAGGACUCUUGGAGCUGCCAUUUCUGGAGGACUAGUAUUGCAGAGAAGGGACUUGGCAGUUGAAGUGGUGGUGAAAUCUGUGUAGUGGGAGACCAGCCUUAAAACAACGAGUGUUAUGUAAUCAUAAGUAUUGUAUUGCGUGGCGUGUAGUAAGGAUGAGUGUUGUAGCAGGAGCCUCUGCUUCCGUUGGAUCUAGAGAAAGAAACACACGUAUACAUGUAUAUGUGUGCUGAGUUGCUGUGUAAAAUUUAUUUUUUACUCUGGUCAGGGUCCACAAUGCUUGAGAAACAUUAUCUAGCUAGAUUUCUUUGGUCUCAGCAUAGACAGUGGGUUCUGGCCACUUCCCCAGAGGUCAUUUCUAUGGAGACAAAUGUGAUGAGAGGGUUUCUUUUAAAGAACAGCCAGAAUCAUGCUCUUACAGUGUGAUCUUCACCUCAACCUGGCUGCUCACCUGUGCUUGGUGUUUCCUUCUGCAGGGGAGCUAGGACCAGAGCCAGGAUAGUCUCAGCCAGAAGUUAGCAGCAAAGAUUGUCUUCUCCUCCCUAGUUACCCAGGGAAUGGCUCCCUAAAAUGCAGUAAAUCUAGCACCAUCCCUCUUCUCUUGGUUCCUGAUUUUAUUAACUAUUUCCUUGCCUUUUAUAUAUUUUUUUUUAACAGUAAUCCUCUUUCCCCAUGUACCAAGGCCAGGGCAGG
rnacentral:lncRNA from 1 species